ACGCUCGACACCUACGGGAGACAGCAGUGGGGAAUAUUGCACAAUGGGGGAAACCCUGAUGCAGCGACGCCGCGUGAAGGAAGAAGUAUCUCGGUAUGUAAACUUCUAUCAGCAGGGAAGAAAAUGACGGUACCUGACUAAGAAGCCCCGGCUAACUACGUGCCAACAGCCGCGGUAAUCUGAGCGGGCUGGCAAGGC
rnacentral:rRNA from 1 species